UGGGGAAUAUUGCACAAUGGGCGCAAGCCUGAUGCAGCCAUGCCGCGUGUAUGAAGAAGGCCUUCGGGUUGUAAAGUACUUUCAGCGAGGAGGAAGGCAUUGUGGUUAAUAACCGCAGUGAUUGACGUUACUCGCAGAAGAAGCACCGGCUAACUCCGUGCCAGCAGCCGCGGUAAUACGGAGGGUGCAAGCGUUAAUCGGAAUUACUGGGCGUAAAGCGCACGCAGGCGGUCUGUCAAGUCGGAUGUGAAAUCCCCGGGCUCAACCUGGGAACUGCAUCCGAAACUGGCAGGCUAGAGUCUUGUAGAGGGGGGUAGAAUUCCAGGUGUAGCGGUGAAAUGCGUAGAGAUCUGGAGGAAUACCGGUGGCGAAGGCGGCCCCCUGGACAAAGACUGACGCUCAGGUGCGAAAGCGUGGGGAGCAAACAGG
rnacentral:rRNA from 1 species